CCCUGAUAUAUUUAACUGAAAGUUUUUAAUAUAUAUAUAUAUAUACACACACACAUAUAUAUACAACUGAUUAUCAUAAAUCUUUUUUCAAAACAUUUUUUGCAUUAUCCAUGAGUACAAGCUAUCAUUUUACAGAAUCCAUAAUGGGUUUGAAACUCAAAUUGUCUCAAUUCGAUAGAAAGAGGGACUGUUCUAUAUGGAAGCAGAAAAUGAGGGCCAACUUAGUCCAAAAAGGGUUGUAAAGGUUCUUGAUGAUCUUGAAACAUUUUCUACUGAGUUAAAAGCAAAAACUGCUAGAAUUGAAGAGACGAAUGAAAAUGCCUAUUGUUCUAUAAUUUUGCAUUUAUCUGAAUUAGAUAGCUUACAUACACUAAACGUGUCAAAUGAAGAACCUAAUAAAGAUUGGAUUCUAGAUUUUGGAUACAGUUGUCAUAUGUGCCCUGAAAGAUCAAGGUUUUAUAAUUAUAAGGAAAUAGAACUUGGAAAUGUGUAUAUGGGAGAUAAUAAGUCUUAGAGAAUGAAUGGAACUGGUGACAUUGCUAUCGAAAUGUUUGAUGGCAUUGUUAGGCCAAUCAAGAAUGUGAAAUAUCUCUCAAAUUUGGAAGGGAACUUUAUUUCAUUAGAGUUCCUUGAAGAUGAGGGAUAUAUCUUCAAAUCUGAUAAUAGAACUUUGAAAAUUAUGAGGGGCUCCUUAAUUGUAAUGAAAGGACUUAAAAGAAAUGGUCUAUAUUAUCUAGAAAGCAAAACAGUUAUAGCACCUAAUCCAAGUCUACUUGUAAACGAAAAUAAAUCUAAACUUUGACACAAUAGAGUGGGUCAUAUUGGAAAUAAAGAUUAAAAUCUCUAAUUAAUCAAAAAUUACUCGAAAAAGAUGUUAUUGAGACUGUGGACUUCUGUGAGACUUAUGUAUUGGAUAAGUUUGACAAGGUGAGUUUUGAGUUUAGCUCACAUAGAACCAAUAGGUCCUUGGACUAUAUACAUGCUGAACUUUGGUGUCUUGAGAAGCAUUCUACAUUUGGUAUAAUUACUUUCUAUUCCUUAUAAAUGAUUUUUCUAGGAAGUUUUGUAUUUACCCUUUAUAGGCUAAGUCUGAAACCUUUCGCAAGUUUAGAACUUAGUUCAAAGCUGUUAAAAAUUAGUUAGAGAAAAAUUAAAAACACUAAGAACUGAUAAUGAGCUUGAAUUUUGUAAUGUAGAAUUUGAUAAUUUUUGUAAACGGAAAGAGAUAAUGAGAUAUAGGACUAUAAAAUACAUAUCUCAACAAAAUGGGGUUGUUGAGAGAAUGAACUUGGCCAUAAUGAAUAAAUAUGGAUUCAUGCUUAUCAGUUUUGGCUUGGCCAAAGAUUUUUGGGUUGAAGCUACUUGUACAAUAGCUUACUUGAUAAACAAGUCUCCCUCUAGCAGUAUAAGCUUCAAAACUCCAUAAAAAUUGUGGAUUGGGGAGCCCCUAAACUUAACCCAUAUAAGAGCUUUUAGACGUGCUGCAUAUGCACAUCAAUUUGAAGGGAAAUUUGAAUUUAGGACCAUCAAAUGUCUGAUGCUAUGUGUUUGUGUGAAUUUUGCAAAUGUAUGGGUUUGUUGUACAAGUAAUAGAUUUAGUAAGUUAGAAUAUCGUCCCACGAGAAAUAAAAUUUAACUUAGUGUAUUAGUUCUUAAUUAGAUUUAAAGCGAACAAAUUAAAAGUGAUUUUUGUGAAAUCUAUGAAAAUGUAUAAAAUGCGAAUUUAAAAUGUAUAUGGGAAGAAUGUGUUGGAUUACGAAUUCACCUAUUAUUAUCUAUUCAAAUUCUCAACUACAUAGCUAGUUUCACUCUUGCAUUUUUUACAAUCGAUAAUUUUAUUGUAAUUAAUUUUCCUUUCCAAGACAAAUUAAAUCUAUCCUAUU
rnacentral:lncRNA from 1 species